UUCAUUCUGUGUGAUAUUUAUUUAGUGUGUGUUACUAGGGAUUGAAUCUAGAGGUGCUCUACUACUCAACCAUAUCCUCAGCCCUUUUUAUUUUUCAUUUGAAACAGGGUCUUAUUAAGUUGCUGAGGCUGGCCUUGAACUUUCGAUCCUCCUGCCUAAGCCUCCCAAGUAGCUGGGAUUGCUGCACCUGGCUGGAAGCAACAUUCUGCACAGGGUUGGUGCCUGAGCUGGAAGAAGACCCUCUGAAGGCAGACUCUCGUUCCUCUGAAGCUAUCACAACUAACCAGAAGAAAUUCUUUCCAGCACAAAGAACUCAACAAACCGGUUUCAAAAAUCCCGUUUCUCCAUGUUUACUUUCUUUAUUAUGUGUUUACUUCUUGAAUGUUGAAAUAUGUAAGGACCUUGUAGAGAGAAAU
rnacentral:lncRNA from 1 species